rnacentral:rRNA from 1 species
GCGUGCUUAACACAUGCAAGUCGAACGGAAAGGCCCUGCUUUUGUGGGGUGCUCGAGUGGCGAACGGGUGAGUAACACGUGAGUAACCUGCCCUUGACUUUGGGAUAACUUCAGGAAACUGGGGCUAAUACCGGAUAGGAGCUCCUGCUGCAUGGUGGGGGUUGGAAAGUUUCGGCGGUUGGGGAUGGACUCGCGGCUUAUCAGCUUGUUGGUGGGGUAGUGGCUUACCAAGGCUUUGACGGGUAGCCGGCCUGAGAGGGUGACCGGCCACAUUGGGACUGAGAUACGGCCCAGACUCCUACGGGAGGCAGCAGUGGGGAAUAUUGCACAAUGGGCGGAAGCCUGAUGCAGCAACGCCGCGUGCGGGAUGACGGCCUUCGGGUUGUAAACCGCUUUCGCCUGUGACGAAGCGUGAGUGACGGUAAUGGGUAAAGAAGCACCGGCUAACUACGUGCCAGCAGCCGCGGUGAUACGUAGGGUGCGAGCGUUGUCCGGAUUUAUUGGGCGUAAAGGGCUCGUAGGUGGUUGAUCGCGUCGGAAGUGUAAUCUUGGGGCUUAACCCUGAGCGUGCUUUCGAUACGGGUUGACUUGAGGAAGGUAGGGGAGAAUGGAAUUCCUGGUGGAGCGGUGGAAUGCGCAGAUAUCAGGAGGAACACCAGUGGCGAAGGCGGUUCUCUGGGCCUUUCCUGACGCUGAGGAGCGAAAGCGUGGGGAGCGAACAGGCUUAGAUACCCUGGUAGUCCACGCUGUAAACGGUGGGUACUAGGUGUGGGGUCCAUUCCACGGGUUCCGUGCCGUAGCUAACGCUUUAAGUACCCCGCCUGGGGAGUACGGCCGCAAGGCUAAAACUCAAAGGAAUUGACGGGGCCCCGCACAAGCGGCGGAGCAUGCGGAUUAAUUCGAUGCAACGCGUAGAACCUUACCUGGGUUUGACAUGGAUCGGGAGUGCUCAGAGAUGGGUGUGCCUCUUUUGGGGUCGGUUCACAGGUGGUGCAUGGCUGUCGUCAGCUCGUGUCGUGAGAUGUUGGGUUAAGUCCCGCAACGAGCGCAACCCUUGUUCACUGUUGCCAGCACGUUAUGGUGGGGACUCAGUGGAGACCGCCGGGGUCAACUCGGAGGAAGGUGGGGAUGACGUCAAGUCAUCAUGCCCCUUAUGUCCAGGGCUUCACGCAUGCUACAAUGGCUGGUACAGAGAGUGGCGAGCCUGUGAGGGUGAGCGAAUCUCGGAAAGCCGGUCUCAGUUCGGAUUGGGGUCUGCAACUCGACCUCAUGAAGUCGGAGUCGCUAGUAAUCGCAGAUCAGCAACGCUGCGGUGAAUACGUUCCCGGGGCUUGUACACACCGCCCGUCAAGUCAUGAAAGUUGGUAACACCCGAAGCCGGUGGCCUAACCGUUGUGGGGGAGCCGUCGAAGGUGGGACUGGUGAUUAGGACUAAGUCAU